AGAGUUUGAUCCUGGCUCAGAACAAACGCUGGCGGCGUGUCUUAAGCAUGCAAGUCGAGCGGCAAGGGCAGCAAUGCCCCUAGAGCGGCGGACUGGUGAGUAACGCGUGGGUGAUCUACCUUGGGCAUGGGGAUAGCCAUUAGAAAUAGUGGGUAAUACCGAAUACGUUCGUUACCGUGAGGGUAACGAGGAAAGGCGCUACGGCGCCGGCCUGGAGAUGAGCUUGCGUCUGAUUAGCUAGUUGGUGAGGUAAUGGCUCACCAAGGCGAUGAUCGGUAGCCGGCCUGAGAGGGUGUACGGCCACACUGGGACUGAGAUACGGCCCAGACUCCUACGGGAGGCAGCAGCUAAGAAUAUUCCGCAAUGGACGAAAGUCUGACGGAGCGACGCCGCGUGGAUGAUGAAGGCCGAAAGGUUGUAAAGUCCUUUUGCUGGGGAAGAAUAAGCGUGGGAGGGAAUGCCCGCGUGAUGACAUGAACCGGCGAAUAAGCCCCGGCUAACUACGUGCCAGCAGCCGCGGUAACACGUAGGGGGCGAGCGUUGUCCGGAAUUACUGGGCGUAAAGGGCGCGUAGGCGGUUUCUUAAGUCAGAGGUGAAAACUACCGGCUCAACCGGUAGCCUGCCUUUGAAACUGGGAGACUUGAGGGCAGGAGAGGGGAGUGGAAUUCCCAGUGUAGCGGUGAAAUGCGUUGAUAUUGUCAAGAACACCAAGGGCGAANGCAGGUACCUGGGACCGCACUGACGCUGAGGAACGAAAGCUAGGGGAGCGAAAGGGAUUAGAUACCCUGNUAGUC
rnacentral:rRNA from 1 species